CAGCAGCCACGGGAAUACAGAGGCCCCAAGCGUUGUUCGGAUUCAUUGGGCGUAAAGGGUGCGUAGGCGGUUCCGUAAGUCGGAUGUGAAAUCUUGGGGCUCAACCUCAAAACUGCAUUCGAUACUGCGGGGCUAGAGGACUGGAGAGGAGAGUGGAAUUCACGGUGUAGCAGUGAAAUGCGUAGAUAUCGUGAGGAAGACCAGCGGCGAAGGCGGCUCUCUGGACAGUUCCUGACGCUGAUGCACGAAGGCCAGGGGAGCAAACGGGAUUAGAUACCCCGGUAGUCCCUGUCUCUUAUAC
rnacentral:rRNA from 1 species